rnacentral:rRNA from 1 species
GACGAACGCUGGCGGCGUGCCUAAUACAUGCAAGUUGAGCGCUGAAGGUUGGUACUUGUACCAACUGGAUGAGCAGCGAACGGGUGAGUAACGCGUGGGGAAUCUGCCUUUGAGCGGGGGACAACAUUGGGAAACGAAUGCUAAUACCGCAUAAAAACUUUAAACACAAGUUUUAAGUUUGAAAGAUGCAGUUGCAUCACUCAAAGAUGAUCCCGCGUUGUAUUAGCUAGUUGGUGAGGUAAAGGCUCACCAAGGCGAUGAUACAUAGCCGACCUGAGAGGGUGAUCGGCCACAUUGGGACUGAGACACGGCCCAAACUCCUACGGGAGGCAGCAGUAGGGAAUCUUCGGCAAUGGACGAAAGUCUGACCGAGCAACGCCGCGUGAGUGAAGAAGGUUUUCGGAUCGUAAAACUCUGUUGGUAGAGAAGAACGUUGGUGAGAGUGGAAAGCUCAUCAAGUGACGGUAACUACCCAGAAAGGGACGGCUAACUACGUG